AUUGAACGCUGGCGGCAUGCCUUACACAUGCAAGUCGAACGGCAGCACGGGAGCAAUCCUGGUGGCGAGUGGCGAACGGGUGAGUAAUGUAUCGGAACGUGCCCAGUCGUGGGGGAUAACGUAGCGAAAGCUACGCUAAUACCGCAUACGAUCUAUGGAUGAAAGCGGGGGACCGUAAGGCCUCGCGCGAUUGGAGCGGGCGAUAUCAGAUUAGGUAGUUGGUGGGGUAAAGGCCUACCAAGCCGACGAUCUGUAGCUGGUCUGAGAGGACGACCAGCCACACUGGGACUGAGACACGGCCCAGACUCCUACGGGAGGCAGCAGUGGGGAAUUUUGGACAAUGGGCGCAAGCCUGAUCCAGCAAUGCCGCGUGCAGGAUGAAGGCCUUCGGGUUGUAAACUGCUUUUGUACGGAGCGAAAAGGCUCUCUCUAAUACAGGGGGCUCAUGACGGUACCGUAAGAAUAAGCACCGGCUAACUACGUGCCAGCCGCCGCAAGUAA
rnacentral:rRNA from 1 species